AUCAAUUAAUCAUGUUAAAAUCCUAAGUAAAACUAUCAUUUAAUUUUCUAUAAAUUUGAAAAAUUAUUAAAUAAAUUGUAAGAAAUCAAUUAGAAAAAAAACAAGUGUAAACAAUGCAAACAUAGGGGAUUUAAUUAGCAAAAACAAGUGUAAACAAUGCAAACAUAAGGGAUUUAAUUAGCAAAAACAAUGGUGCAAACAGUGGUCCUGUGCUUGGCCCAAAGUGGAAGGCCCACAUCAAAUGUUCAUACAGCCUGGGGGCUAGUAAAAGCAUGGUGAAAUCAAUAAAAUGUGGCUAAAGCCCAAACAGGUAAAUCCCAAAUAAAAAUCAGCAUGUAAAAAAAUGGAUAACGUCAAAUGGUGAUGUGUCCAUGAGUCAGCAGUGCAAAAUGGAUAUUAAUGAAAUGAAUUAACUAAAAGAGCACGUGCAUAACAUGCUAGAAAGGAAGUCAUUACAAAACAAAAAUGAAACGCGUUCUCUCGUGUCUCCUCCUCAGUUUCCAGUUUCUCCCUCCGCCGUGCCGGAGGCCCUCUACAGCGGCGGAGGCGUCUCAAAAUCCAAUUAAAGAACAUCACUCCACCCAGUUUCACAUCCUGAAUCCAAAUAUCCCUAUGAAAAUUUCUAAUUCUCCUUUAGCUAUUCAAAUUGAAGUGAAACAAGGAAGAACCCUAACUUUUCAAAGUUAAAUUAAAUGGUGCGCACUCACAGAUUCAUGCUCAGAUAUUGGGGCUAUCGAUGCCUAGAACAUCCUCUACACAACGAUAACAAAAUCAUGACAAGCAGAAGAGAAAGAAGAUUUACCUCCCAAAUAGAGGUUGCUUCCGACGAAGGUUGAAUAGGAGAAGACGAAGGCGCAACGAAAAAUCACUUGAAAUAGGGCAUGUUCUGAAUUCUCUUUGUAUGUGCAUGUCAUGAUGCAGUUGUAGGAGGGCAAUGGUAUUGUGAAUCAGUUUGCAGCAAGGCCAUGUUAAUGUAGGGCGAUUUGGUGGUUCAUAUGUGCAGGUCAUGAUUGGUUUUCUGCAGGGCCGAGUUCAAUUGAAUGUAUGCAAGGAAAUGUUCUGUUGAAAAGAUGUAAGGCAAUGUUUGUUGUGGUCGAAACUUGCAGGAUAUCUGGUUUUCUGCAGGAGGGCACUGUUAAUGUGUUGCAGAUGUGUUGUGUUGAGCAGAAUUGCAAGGCAAUGACUUGGUGAAUUGUGGACUUGGGAAUUGAUGGAUUGGACUUUGUAUAUUUUGUUUGUAGGAUUGUAAUGCAAUAUAGUUUAUGUAUGGAAUUGAAUGUAUGAAAUAUUGGAAGGUGAAUUUGAAUGUAUGCGGUUUAAUGAAACUUGAAUGAUAUGGUUUUGAAUUUGUCAUAA